AAACGUAGAGCCAUUCGAGUGGAAAGAGGCCAGAGUACAAUUUUUAUGGCCAUACUACACCAGGUCUAAAGAUACAGGGUUGGAACUCUGGAGAUCUUGAUACCUACUGUGGAGAUUAACACACAUGGACGUUGAAUGAGCUAAGUAACAUUUGAAUGUUCAUUGUGGAGUUUCUGGGAGAGGAAAGUGUAGAAGUAGUGGCAGAAUUCUGGCUCUAUGAGGAAAAGAAGCAAAGGUUUUGCUACUGGCCGCCAAACAAUCAAUCCAGCAGAGCCAAGAAAAG